CAGUCGCCGCGGGAAUACGAAGGGGGCUAGCGUUGUUCGGAGUUACUGGGCGUAAAGCGCACGUAGGCGGAUAUUUAAGUCAGGGGUGAAAUCCCGCAGCUCAACUGCGGAACUGCCUUUGAUACUGGGUAUCUUGAGUAUGGAAGAGGUUAGUGGAAUUGCGAGUGUAGAGGUGAAAUUCGUAGAUAUUCGCAGGAACACCAGUGGCGAAGGCGGCUAACUGGUCCAUAACUGACGCUGAGGUGCGAAAGCGUGGGGAGCAAACAGGAUUAGAUACCCCAGUAGUCCCUGUCUCUUAUAC
rnacentral:rRNA from 1 species